rnacentral:rRNA from 1 species
ACGGGGGGGGCAAGCGUUGUUCGGAAUUACUGGGCGUAAAGGGCGCGUAGGCGGCCACUGCAAGUCAGUUGUGAAAUCUCCGGGCUUAACUCGGAACGGUCAAUUGAUACUGCAGGGCUAGAGUGCAGAAGGGGCAACUGGAAUUCUCGGUGUAGCGGUGAAAUGCGUAGAUAUCGAGAGGAACACCUGCGGCGAAGGCGGGUUGCUGGGCUGACACUGACGCUGCAGCGCGAAAGCCAGGGGAGCGAACGGGA